AUCCAUUGAGGACGAUCUUUUCGAAAAAGCAGAAGGGAUAUUGUAUGGACCUGGCAUCGCUGAUUGACUAUCAAAAUUGUGACCCCCAACGUGGACACCACAUCCAAGUGCAUUUUCUGCAACAAUUGCUUCAUCAUUUUUAUAGAUAUUAAUUAAUAAAUAAAUCGAUCUUUAAAAAA